GGGGGAUAACUACUGGAAACGGUGGCUAAUACCGCAUAACGUCGCAAGACCAAAGAGGGGGACCUUCGGGCCUCUUGCCAUCAGAUGUGCCCAGAUGGGAUUAGCUAGUUGGUGAGGUAACGGCUCACCAAGGCGACGAUCCCUAGCUGGUCUGAGAGGAUGACCAGCCACACUGGAACUGAGACACGGUCCAGACUCCUACGGGAGGCAGCAGUGGGGAAUAUUGCACAAUGGGCGCAAGCCUGAUGCAGCCAUGCCGCGUGUAUGAAGAAGGCCUUCGGGUUGUAAAGUACUUUCAGCGGGGAGGAAGGUGUUGUGGUUAAUAACCGCAGCAAUUGACGUUACCCGCAGAAGAAGCACCGGCUAACUCCGUGCCAGCAGCCGCGGUAAUACGGAGGGUGCAAGCGUUAAUCGGAAUUACUGGGCGUAAAGCGCACGCAGGCGGUCUGUCAAGUCGGAUGUGAAAUCCCCGGGCUCAACCUGGGAACUGCAUUCGAAACUGGCAGGCUUGAGUCUUGUAGAGGGGGGUAGAAUUCCAGGUGUAGCGGUGAAAUGCGUAGAGAUCUGGAGGAAUACCGGUGGCGAAGGCGGCCCCCUGGACAAAGACUGACGCUCAGGUGCGAAAGCGUGGGGAGCAAACAGGAUUAGAUACCCUGGUAGUCCACGCCGUAAACGAUGUCUACUUGGAGGUUGUGCCCUUGAGGCGUGGCUUCCGGAGCUAACGCGUUAAGUAGACCGCCUGGGGAGUACGGCCGCAAGGUUAAAACUCAAAUGAAUUGACGGGGGCCCGCACAAGCGGUGGAGCAUGUGGUUUAAUUCGAUGCAACGCGAAGAACCUUACCUGGUCUUGACAUCCACAGAACUUUCCAGAGAUGGAUUGGUGCCUUCGGGAACUGUGAGACAGGUGCUGCAUGGCUGUCGUCAGCUCGUGUUGUGAAAUGUUGGGUUAAGUCCCGCAACGAGCGCAAC
rnacentral:rRNA from 2 species